AUGCAAGUCAUAUUCAUGAGGUCACAGCUCCACCCAUUAGAGCCAGCUAAUGUUUUGACCCAGCCCAGCUGCCAGAGAACAGGCCCAGGUGCUGGCCCCACAGGUUUUGGUUUGAGUCUCAGUCACUGUGGUUUGUUUUCGGCGGCGGAACCCAGCUCACUGUCCUAGGUCAGCCCAAAUCUUCUCCCAAAAUCACGGUGUUUCCACCUUCACCUGAGGAGCUCCAGACAAACAAAGCCACACUGGUGUGUCUGAUCAACGACUUCUCCCCGCGUACUGUAACAGUGGCUUGGGCGGCAGAUGGUGUGCCUAUCACCCAGGGUGUGCAGACUACAAAAUCCACCAAAGAAAACAAAAACUACAUGGCCAGCAGCUAUCUAAGUUUGACAGCGGACCAGUGGAGAUCUUACAAGAGCGUUUCCUGCCAAGUUACUCAUGAAGGGAGUCUUGUGGAGAAGAGUUUGUCCCCUGCACAAUGUAGCUAGGAGCCCAGACUUCUCCUGAGCCUGGGAAGUGUGGAGCUAGGGGACCCAGAAUGGGGUCUCUUCUCUAUACUAGGGAAUCCAGGCUUCUCUUUUACACGCUGAAUAUUCAAUAAAAGAUCAU